GAUGAACGCUGGCGGCGUGCUUAACACAUGCAAGUCGAACGAUGAAGCCCAGCUUGCUGGGUGGAUUAGUGGCGAACGGGUGAGUAACACGUGAGUAACCUGCCCUUGACUCUGGGAUAAGCCCGGGAAACUGGGUCUAAUACCGGAUAGGAGCGCCUGUCGCAUGACGGGUGUUGGAAAGAUUUUUCGGUCAUGGAUGGACUCGCGGCCUAUCAGCCUGUUGGUGAGGUAAUGGCUCACCAAGGCGACGACGGGUAGCCGGCCUGAGAGGGUGACCGGCCACACUGGGACUGAGACACGGCCCAGACUCCUACGGGAGGCAGCAGUGGGGAAUAUUGCACAAUGGGCGGAAGCCUGAUGCAGCGACGCCGCGUGAGGGAUGACGGCCUUCGGGUUGUAAACCUCUUUCAGUAGGGAAGAAGCGAAAGUGACGUACCUGCAGAAAGAG
rnacentral:rRNA from 1 species